rnacentral:lncRNA from 1 species
AGAAAUACAGUCCUUGGAGUAGGAGGCUAACAGAGCUAAGGUGAAGGAUCUAAAACCUGAAAAGAGGCCAAAUGAUUCCUCAAAACCACGCAAGUACGAAGUAGCAGAGCGGAUCUCAAAUCCAGAGCACUGCGUGUUUUGAAAUAUACAAAUAGUGGGAAACGAAAUCUUUGUUCUGGAUGCAGUUAUAAUUUGGAAAGCGAGGAAAUAAAUUAUAACAAGGGGAAAAAACAGCACUCCACGAAGAGGCCUUGGCUAGCUGCACAUCUCCCUACAUGGGUAUGUCAAGAUCACCAACUCUGCUUACAGCAGUUCCCAGAUGAAACUCUUCAUAAUUUCAGAUGCACCUUUAAUACCAGUGAAGGUUUACCUCCAGGCCCACAGUCUGGGUCUUUCCAGAGACACCCACAGCAAGAUGUCACCUGCUUUUUGAUGUCAUCAGAGUCAAACACAAACACCCACCACUGUGGUUUCCAUGUCUAAUUCGCAAAUGGCUUUAACUUUGAGCUGGCCCACAAUGUUGUAUUAACCCCACUCAGGUAUCAUCUUUCUCCGUGGGUGAACCCAUAGUGACCUUUCCUUCUGAUUCUUCUUUUACUCUAAGGGCAUGAUUUUGGCAAACUGUCUAUAUGUACACUGGAAACAACUUCAACUUGCUUUUAUGUUGAUUUCACUUCUCCACUUUCAAUGCAGAAAGCUAAUCAGCAAUGCCCUAGGUUACUAAGAGAGGACAAUUCUUUCUUAGCCCAUUGAAUUAUGAGCAUUUUCUUGGAAAUGCAGCAAAAUGUGUUCUGACAGAUGCCUUUGGGUCCCUUGGGUUCUUUGCUAAGACAGCUAUAGAGAGAGGGCUCAAUAAGGUGGGGCCUGUGAUGGGACAUUGUUUUUACUGCACUGGUGAUAGAACAAAAGUCAGACAGGGCACAACACACACUGAUACAACCAAUCACCCAGUCACACUGCAGCCUUAGGAAACCCAUGAGCUUGUGGCAGCAGGCAAACUUGCUUCAGAGUUCCAAGAAUCCAAAUGUUCCUGGUGUGUCUGUUGUCUUGCGAUAUAGACUGAGAUCACAGGAUUGAAGAUACGACCAGAGUCAUGCUGUUGAAAGAGACUGGCUGAGUAGUGAUGAAAAAUAAACUUGGUCAAUCUAU